AUUCUAGAAUCUACCCAAGACGAGAAAUCUAUUCUCUCUCUCGCGUGCUUCUACUGAUUUUGCCUGCGAAUGCGAUUACUUUGCUUCUACUGAGUUUUCUUGGAAUUACUCAUUGUUCUGAAAUGAGAGUUUAGGCAGGACGAAGUGACGAACAAUGGUAAUUACCGGAUUCACUUAUGGUUUUAUGCCUGAAGUUCUACUGUUUAUGGAAUUAAUGUGAUGCGGUCUAAUACUGUAACAUCACCCAUGAUGCCUACAAUCUCAAGAAUGUGCAUGAACGAGACCUCGAGAACAAUUAUCGGCAAAGGAAGGCAUAAGCUAAAGCAAUCUCUUUGGUACACUGAUAUCAGAUUCACAAUUUUGAGUAUAAUUCAAAGACUAGCGAAAAAGCUGGAAGGAAUUGCUGGAAAAGCUGAUACAAGAUCUAAAGAUAACUCUCGCUUGUCGUGUCACACUUAUUAUAGGAAUAGGAAGUACUUUUAUUUCUAUGAGCGUCUUAAACUCUUCGAUCAUUUGAGUUUUCACUAUAUUUCUACUAUAUCUCAAGGUAUUCAUGCACUUCUACGCAUGGACCUCUUUUGGUUAAAGUUGAGGUAUACUACCAUGUGAAUAAAGAACUAAAUGUGUAAACUCCUCUAUAAGGAAUCUUUAAUUUUCUUUUGUAGUUCGAGCUAGGCAAAUGGCCUGUCACAUUACCAUUGAAAUCCAUUGAUCAUUUCAGGAAAUGAAUAUGAUCGUAGUUUCCGGGAGUUGAGCAUCUUCAGUUGAGCUUUAGAGAAAGUUUAAUGAGCGCUUUGUUGCUACAGGGGAGUUGAAACUAUAGAUUGGGUGCAACCAUGCCAUUUUUUGUGGCUGUGAGUUUGUGCUUCUCUUUUUCUUAUUAGUUUAGGAAAAGAAUACGAACUUUUUGAAUUAGAAGAUCAUUGCAUUUGGACAAUACUUUUUUUGAUUGAAAUGGGAUGAAGUUGCAGGUUUAGGUUUUAAUAUCCUGGGAUCAAGGUGAAAACAACGAAAGUUUAAAUAUCCUGGGAUGAAAAUGAAAAUAACGAGACAUUGCGUAGUAUUUUACUUGGAGCUAUAAAGAUAUGCUCAGAUGUAGUAUUUUACUUGGAGCUAUAAAGAUAUGCUCAAAAAGCUAUCUCUUUAAUUCAACGCUCACACACUUAAACUAUGAUUGACUUAUGCUUUUUAUCGUUUAAGUCUGUUUGCCAACAUGUUGCUUGAUAUUGCAUGUUUAUUUUUUCAAACAAGUUAUCCCGAUGUUUGAGAUGUGCACUUAUGUGGAGGAUGCUUCACUAUUAUUGUUUGUUCAUCUUACAAGAAUCUCUUCACAUAAGAGGAUGAGAGUUGUGCAUCAAGUCUUUACAUAUGUGAGCAACUCGAGUUGCACUUUAAGUUUGUCCCCCCAUCUCACACGUGUAAAGUAAAGCACUUCUCCCAAAGAAGUCCUUCACAAAACCUUUCUUUUAUUGACACGUAUGUUGACAAUUUAACUUUUGUGACAACUGGACGCCAUCUUUUCCAUUGAACUGAUUUUCACCACCAAUAUUCGACUUGAGGGUUGAAAUUACAAUCUACAACUUCUACUAAGUAGUAAUUCUUUUUCUCUUUGCGUGCAGGUUAUCCUUUUGUGUAUCGAUUCACCUGUAAUGAGGCUUGUGUAUAGUUCCUUGGAUCAAUCUACUCAUUCUUAGGCGUUCUUUCUUUUGUUCUCUGCCCAGACCGCCAAUGAUGAUCUUUUUUACAUGAAUCUUUUAUUUGUAUUUUUUCGCUUCCUGAUUUUUCUUCACCAAUUCGUAAUUUCAAAUGUCAUCAGUUUAUCUCCGUGAUGGAGUAUAUGUCCCUUAUUUAUUUUGGGUAUCUGUUAGUUUCUCUGUUUUGGGUUGUUUGUCAAAUUUUUUAUAUGCAUGCAAAUAAUUUUUUCUUCUGAUUUGCUCAUACAUGUUUGAAAAUAAAUACCUUUUUCCCUGAUGUAUAAGGAGUUCUGCUAAGAUAAAGCAUGGACAAGUGACUUUACCAGAGAGGGGCUGCUUUGUUGGUGGAAGCUGCAGAGAUGGGUGAUUUCCAUUUAAGAGUUGAGGUGUGAUUUUAUUUAUUGGAACAUAAGAUUAUGGAUUGAAUGAGACUGCAUGUGUUCUGGUGGCAGCUUGCUUGCAGGUACUUUCGAGGAUGCAGGUUUGCAUACUCAGGGCGUCAGGACUCCACGUUAGGGUUUCUGCACACUUCAAUUUUUGGUGAGCUUCACCUGAUAAUCGGGACACAUUUCUUCAUUUAGUAUUUCUAUUUGUUUUGGGUCUACAGGGGCCUUGUCCUGGUAACUUUUGCUACUCAUGAUCAUGUCUUAGAGGCUACAUAGAUUAAGUUGUUCAAGUUAUGCAAAUGUUGACAUUAUCC